CAUAACGACUCUCGGCAACGGAUAUCUCGGCUCUCGCAUCGAUGAAGAACGUAGCGAACUGCGAUACUUGGUGUGAAUUGCAGAAUCCCGUGAACCAUCGAGUCUUUGAACGCAAGUUGCGCCCGAAUCCUUGGAUGAGGGCACGUUUGCCUGGGUGUCA
rnacentral:rRNA from 1 species